UACGGAGGGUGCGAGCGUUGUCCGGAAUCACUGGGCGUAAAGGGCGCGUAGGCGGCCUGAUAAGUAGGGGGUGAAAUCCUGCGGCUUAACCGCAGGGCUGCCUUCUAAACUGUCAGGCUCGAGCACAGUAGAGGCAGGUGGAAUUCCCGGUGUAGCGGUGGAAUGCGUAGAGAUCGGGAAGAACACCCGUGGCGAAGGCGGCGUGCUGGGUUGCAACUGACGCUGAGAUGCGAAAGUGUGGGGAGCAAACGGG
rnacentral:rRNA from 1 species